GUUAUCAAUUUUUACUACCCAACAACACACACUAAUAACUUACACAGUAAAACAAAGAAACCCUAAAAAUUCAUCUUCUGGCUCGAACCCUAAAAGCUAAGGCGCCGUCAGCUUCAUCGUCGCGAUCGAACCCAGCCCUGGUCGCCUGUCUCUGUGGCGGUGCUGCUCGCCUCAUCUUCUCGAACCCAGCCCUGGUCGUGGUGCUCCUCGCCUGUCUCUGUGGCGGUGCUGCUCGCCUCAUCUUCUCGAACCCAGCCCUGGUCGUGGUCCUGCUCGCCUCUCUCUGUCGCGGUUCUGCUGAGCCUCAUCUUCUCCAACCCAGCCCUGGUCGUGGUGCUUCUCGCCUCUCUCUGUGUCGCGGUUCUGCUCAGCCUCAUCUUCUCCAACCCAGCCCUGGUCGUGGUGCUGCUCGCCUCUCUCUGUGUCGCGGUUCUGCUCGCCUCUCAUCCCGCAUCUGGCAUCAAGUAUCCUCCUUGUUACAAGGACAUCAGUUUCUGGAUCAAUGAAUCAUUUACUGAAAAUAAUCCGUGUGAACUUGUUAGAGGAAUUGCUGGGGAUCUUGUAGAAGAGAGCUUCAGAGAUUUACACAACCAUGUAAAAGUGACGGUUCUCUUCAUUUUUUGGUGGUUGGUGAUUGGGGAAGAAGAGGUGAAUAUAACCAAUCUGAAGUUGCUUACCAGCUACUGCAUGAAAACUGCUUGAAGAGGAAAGUACCUACUAGUGAACAGGGUAGUGAUAAAAACAAUGGAGCUCAUAAUGGAUGAUCACACUACUCAUGAAAUUUGAUAUUUUGUAACUAAGUAUAUAGAAGUAGAUAUGUGACACUUGUUGGAAUGACAAUUCUUAUUUACUUGUUAUGACUUUAUUUUUUGGUACUUUGUCAUCAAAACCUACUUUUAUGGUGACAAUUUUAUAUGUAUGUCUUUUUUUAUAGGAAAGUUUAUAUUUGUUGGAUUAGUUCAAUAUAUA